GGCCAGAGGACUUUUACAGAAACAUGGCCAUUUGGAGCCAUCUGAUGUUAUGAAGGAACAGGAUCAGACCCACCAACAUUCUUCAGCCAUAUCCCUGCCUUAGAGAUCUAAAUCAUGUAAGAAAAUCAUUUUCAGAUGGUUUAUGUUUAAUAAGAUUCUGCGAGUAAAUAGUAAAUCAUACUCAUUGUAAAAUGUUGGACUUUUGUUUCUAAAAGUCACAGGACUUUGGCAUUUAAAUGCGAUGAAGCUGAUGAACAGCAAGAGUUUUAUUAAAUUAAAAUGUAUGUAUUUCUAUCUUUGUGUUUAUGUGUCCGAUGACGGAUGAACGGGAUUGGAUCCUCAAUUAAGCAAACCCCCACUUCAUUCUUGAACUGAAGAAUCGCUGGAGGAUCUUUUUUGAGAGGGACCAGUUUUGUGGAGUUUUUUUUUUUUUAAAAAGGGAUGAAUCUUCCAAAGAGAGAUGAAGGUAAUUGCAAACUUAAGUGCAGUCAUGCUCAUUGGCUGUGUCAGUUUUGUGCUUUUGUACAGGUGUGUCUGCCAUUUUGUCCUAUAGACGUUAAAUAAUUGUAUAAAAUGUGCAGUUAUUAAUCCUUGUGCUCUCAUAGGCAUGUUAAAAUUUAAAGUGGGGUCAUCUGGACCCCACAAGACGGAGCUUUUAUUUGCAAGGAUUUUUUUUAUCUUCACUGGUUUUCGUGGCAGACAUAAAAUCCCGUCCACCUCUAUCAUGGGAGGGAUCACACGUCAGUGUUAGCGUGAGAUCAUCUGGACCCCAUAAGAGAGCACAAGGGUUAACUGGUGGUGGCUAAAUUAAAGCAAACAGUUGUCUAGAUGAAGCCUUUGCCAGACAUGAUCCCAUCGCCUGUCGCUCCACCCAAGAAGCUAAGACAUUCAAAUGAGGUGAUGCUUCACAUCCUCCAGUCGGCAGAACACCCCAACAUCUUUCUUCAAUCAAGACCUUUCUUCAGUCUUGUGGUGAUCGUCUGUGACACCAACCGAAUAACUACCAUUGGAACCAUUUCUGUGCUGAUCUUCAGGACGUAUCUGACAGCGUGAUGUAUAUCAUGGCAUGUUACUACAUCUUUCACCUUACGUAUCCCAAGUGUAGCAGGACACUCCUGUUUGUGCUGCAGACAGAAGACCUUAUGGACACGAUCCAUGCCAGAGACAUGACUUCCUCUAACAAAAAAGUAAAUGCUAUUACAACUAUGUAUGUUGAUGUUCAGUCCAGAUGUUUACAGAUGUGAUUGUUAAAAUGUGAAGUUUUUCUACCAGUUUUCUAAGUUACAACAUCAUUUGUUCUGCUCUUCUUAUGAUGACUUUAGCCUUUCUGGAAUCAGUACGGGCUUUUUUAUUUUUUAUCAUACUUCUAGUUAUGUUGCCUAAACAGACAACAUUUAAGUUUCUCAGUAUCCUAUCACACAUUCUUGUGAGAUACUCAUUGUUAUUAAACUUACAGCACUGUUUGUAGUCAUCUGCAUGUCUGUUUUCAACCUAGACCAGCAAUACUUGUGUUUGUUUCCAGUCAUGAGCUCCUCAAAUGCAAUAAAGAAG
rnacentral:lncRNA from 1 species